CAAGUUUUCAAAAUGAGGUAUGUUCAACCUCAGAUAAACAAAACAUGACAUAUAUACUGUAUCAUUACUGAUUUAACAGAAAAAAAAAAAAAAAUCCAAAAUAUAAAAACAAUCAUAUAGAAAACGAACAAAAACGUACAUUUGAUUAUGCCGCUUGUAGAACCACUUGUCAGUGGUUUCCUUGUAUGACCAUCAGUCUCUUAAAAUGUGGAGGAAUUUCACCCCAUCCUCUGUAUAAGGUUACUUCAGUUCACUGAAGUUUGCAGUGCUAGACCGUUUGUUUCUGUCUGAACAGCACACUGUUUUGGCAACUGUGUUAACACUGGAUGUAACGGUAGUUCAGUUGUACAGGUGCCCAGCUGUGAGUGGUGUGCGGAUGUACGGCUCCUGAAUGACUGGUUCCAGCUGUUGGAAGACCACCCCUGAGAGGGCCUAGGCCUGGAGAGCUGCCAGUGACAGAGCUUCACUUCCUUUACCUAAAGCCUUAUCAGCUGCUCCUGUGACAGUCGCUGGCUGAGGUUCUCUGUAGUGAGGAAGGGGAGUGGGUAGAGGUAAGCUUCCGAUUCCUUAAACCCAUAGUUUUCUCCUGUUUUUGGAUAGGACAAGGAGGUCAGACUGUCUUUGUUUUGGUACUUUUUCUGAGGUUAUGGGCAUUGGAGCUUAGCUUUGUUUUCUUCAUUAUUUUGGCCUCAGCUCACCCCAAAGUGUUGGCACUCCUGUCUUGUUGCUUUCCCCACUACUUUGUAAAUAAACGCCAUGUAAUGUCAAGUGAUUGUCAUUACAUCACAAUCGCGUGUCGCUUCUUGGGUCUGGGGGAAACCAAGUGCUGCAUUGAUACUAUUGUGGUGGCGUGCAGGAGGAAACCUGGUAAAGGUAACUACAUGGUGUUGACAACACCACCUGGAGAGGGAGUUACACCCCAGGAGAGAUUACAAUUUCCAGUGCAAACGUUGUAACAGUUACAAAAGGCACACAGGCUCAUUAUUAACAAGCAGAGGAAUGGCAAAUACAUUUCAUAGAACAAAGUUCAGACAACUACCAAUAAUUAGCUGCAGAAAAGAAAACAGCAACUUAAGCAGGGCUGGCAAUACUGAACCAUUAAUUAAGACACUUGAUUAGCAAACAUUACUAAAAAGAACAAGGUUUGCUGCCACGAUGCUGCCCUGGUUACAAUAGCAGCUCAAUAAAAUAGUUAAUCAAAAUGGUGGAGAUCGGCACUUGGGGAGGCAACCUACAGAGAGGAGUGCCCAAGGGUGCCACCAAUUACUCACCAGUGUAGUCUCUCUGCAAUCCUCACUGCAACUUAAAUGGUGCGUUAUACUUGUUUCCCAGGGCGGGGGAAUUCCACCACAGAUGGCUAGUCCCCACAACAAGCAACUGUAUCUCCACUAAAGAAAAAUAAAACUUAUAAAACUUAUAAAUUAACACACACACCCUUUAAAAUACAACUGCUAUUAAAAGCACGAUUAAAAUAUAACAAACAGUUAACACUAAAACAGGGGAAAUGAAUGUAAUCUGCAAUACUUAAAAACAGCCUGUGAUCUUCACCACCUUCAACAGGAACGAAUGCAAGGAGCAGGCUAUAGCUGCUCCUUAUAACCCGGCUCUGAUUAACAGCAAGGGAUGGGUGAAUGUUCAUGCUGCAUUCAAAGACACCAUGCAAAAACCAUCUACCAAAUCUAACCCACUACACUAUGACCUGGCCCAUAGACGGGUUGUGUGGCAUUAAUUUCAUUUGGGUUGAUGACUGGACCAUGACAAUGGUUCUUUUCUUUUUCAGCCAUUCUGCUGUAGAUGUAGCUGUUGGUGUUUUUGCAGUUUAUCUGAGCACUUGACAGUCUCGUGUGUGUUUUAGAAAAUCCACUACUUUGAAAGCUGGCAACUGUCCUGAAUUUUUUCCAUUGUGGAAUGAUGACCUUAUAACCCUUUUCUGAUUGAUGGGCAACAGCGAUCAGUUUGCAUCUGAUUUAUUUUUCUAUAUUAUAUCCUAGCACAUAAAACCUUAGAAGUAACAAAGGGUGUGCUUUCUUUUUUAAGGUGACUGUAUAUCCCACAUACUUUUUGAGAGAUGACUUUUUAUAACAAGCUUAGACGAGGCAAAGUGUCAAUACUGCAGGACUGCAGGAAAAAAGGCAUGGUAAAUCUCACCUACUUUAUGCGACGUUAUCUAUGGUCUGUUGCUGUGGUAUUGGUAAAAGUAGAACAGUGCAAUACAGGGUGGGAAAAAAAUACUUUACUGUGAACAGAUGUCAGGGUGCACUCUCACAGAAUCGUCUCCGACUUCAAAGACUGAACCAGCCAACCAAAAGAAGAAGAAAAGGCACUCACGUGGCCACACACCAUGAUCGAUUUCCUGUUUGCACACCAUUUCUGUGGCAUUGUGUAAGCAUCUAGGCAAGGUCUUAAUAGUAUGCAUGCAUGUCCACUGUGCAGACAUACAUGCAAAGAAGCUGUACGCUAUAAUUAAGAUGAUUAUUAGAUAUCAAAUUUUCCUUAUGUGACAUUAAAGCUGGUAAAGUUGUUGCGCAGAGAUAAGGAUUAAACAGCAUAUGACUCAAUGGUAAGAAAACAUUAUUCCUAUUUAAUCUGCACCACAUUUAGUUUUGCACAGGAUGUGAACUUUAUAGUUCUUGUGAGCAUUUUAUUGCAUUUUGUUACAAUCAUAGGGUACUUAAAGUUGACUGUUUUGGUACUGCACUCCAGUUUCUUGUAAAUAAAAAGAAACUGUCAGCUGAAAUGAGGUUGAACAUUCUUCAUGUAUUUAGAAAUUAGACUAUUUUGUGUUUUGUGUGACCCUGUUUAUUGUUGCUUCUAUGCCCAGGACUUCCUUAAUAACUACUUUUUGAUACUCAGUGCAAAUAAAAUACUAAUCGCAGACAUUUACAGUUCAAAUAAAUUAUCUUUUUUUUCAAGCUGGCAUGGAAGACUUUUCAAGAUAUUGGGGAAUCAACAGGACCCUUUUUCUAAUAUGUUGCAUCGUGUGUAUGUUUUUACAAGCAGGUAAAAUUCAUUUACAGUUACUUUGACAAUGAGUAGAACUUAGUGGAACAGUUUAGUAACUUGAGAAUUUUUUUUCCAGUUUUUGCUUUUGUACUGGAAGCUACAACGAAAAAAAUGUCUGAAUAGUGAAAAAGAAGGUUAUUUUUUAUAUCUGGAUUUUUAUUUGCUUGUAUUUUUUUAAAUUCAAUCUCAAGAAUUAAUCAAAACAAGGUUAUGACUUUAAUUUCUGUGCUUUGUUUUUUGAGAUGUUGGCUCUAUUCUGCAGCAUGCCCGCCUUUUUACAAAGCUGUGUAUUUGCCCCCUUCCUUAUUUUUAUUUUUUAUUUUUUGUAAAUUUGUCACAAAAUACAGUUUUUAAAUGAUGAUUUAUAUAUUAGGGAAAGAAAGCUAUCCAGAUCUACCUGACCGUAUGCAAAGAACAAGUAAUUCCCCCCUAGACCCAAGAACUGCGAUCAAGCAUUUGUAGAAAUUGGUGAGGCAUCUUUCACAUCUUUGUCGAGUAUAUUUGUUCUUGGCCAGACAUUCUCUCUGAGCAUUUUCUUUUAGAGAGCAGAAUUCACAGCCCCAUUAACUAUGGAAAGUCAUUCAGGUCCUAAAGCAGCAAAGCAGUCCCACAACUGUCACACUACCACCACCAUGUUUGACUGUUGGUAUGAUCCUUUUAUGAAAUGUUGUGUCAGGUUUACAGCAUGUAUUGGGACUCAAACCUUUAAAAAAGAUCAACUUUUUUUUCUCAUCAGCCCACAGAAGUCUCAAAAGUCUCAGGGAUAAACAGGAUUUUUUUUGCCAAGUGUGAGAUUAGCCUUCGUGGUUUUGUUUCUUGGAACCUUUGGAACUUUUUUUAAUGGUCUUUUUAUAAUUGUUGAAUCAUAAACACUGCCCUUAACUGAGGAAAGUGAGGCCUGAAGUUCUUUAGAUGUGGUUUCACACCUCAGAGACCCUGUGUUUUUUUUUGUUUUUUUUUAGCCUCCUCAUUGAGUCGUCAGUGUGCUCUUGGAGUAAUUUUGGUACACUGGCCACUCUUCGGAAGGUUAAUGUAGAUUUAUUUGUGGAUAUCAGCUCUCACUAUGAUUUGCUUGAGUCCCAAAGCCUUAAAAAUUACUCUGUUACAUACAGCCAGGUAGGUUUGGAUAGCUUUUUUCUCAACAAAUAAAAUCACCGUUUGAAACUUUUACUUUUCUCACAUGCAUUCAAUAUUGAUUAAGUCAGAAAAAGGAUGAAAAAGCAGAGCUGGGAUAGAGGUGGGCUGCAAAGUGACUUGCAGAGAAUAAUAAUAAUAAUGUUAUAGUUGAAAAUGUGUAGGAGCAUCAGCUGAGCUAACUAAUAUAUAUGUAAUAUAUAUGUAUAUAUAUGUAAUUGAAAUAAUAAGUAAAUGAGGCCUAUAAUGUGAUUUUUUUUGUCUUUCAAGAAGGGAACAGCACUUCCUUGAUGGCUGGGAGCACAGUGACCCUGCACUGUAGCAAUAACUCAAUCAGCGACCUCCAACAACUGACAUGGAAAAGGAAUGGGACUCUUCUGUUUAGUUUCAAGGCACAGAAAACCUCAAACAACAGCUCUGUGACUUUAAGCAGUAAUCAGAACAUGUCAGACAGCAGAAUAAUAAGGUCUCAUGCAGCUGCCAUCCUGAAUCUAAGCAUGUCCACCUUAAAAAGCCAACUGUAUGCACUAAUCAUAGAGAGAGCUCAGAAACAUCACGAAGGAAACUACACUUGUGAAACGACCACAGACUCAGGAGUCUUCGAACAGAAAUGGGAGCUCAUAAUUACAGAGAACGCUGAAGCUGAAGGUCCAUUUAAAAUCCAUAUUGCUGCAGCAGUUGUUGUCCCUUCGCUAUGUUUCCUGAUCUUUAUAUUAACUGCUGUGAUCAUUCUCAGAGGAGUCUGCAAACGACGUUCGCAAAGAAUCACCCAGGCUCCUAGAAGACUGCAGGAGCAGAGACAACCCACUUAUGAAAACCUGGAUUUUGAAGGUCGCCAACAAUGUGGACAAAUUCAGGUUCACCCCUAUAAAUACAGGGCUGAGUGAUAUGAAUCGCACAGUAACAUAAGGCCUAACUCUUUUAAAUGAUCAACCACUUUAAACGGCUUUCUCUGUGAAUGUAUUGUAGUGAAGAGCACAGUCUGUACUUGAAGCUGCAUUAUUUAUUUUUUUCUGGCUGAACUGAAGACCAGUCAGAAUGUGACCUCAUCGAUUUGUAGUCAUAAGUUAACAGCUGACAGUAGAUACCUGUCAGUUUUGUACAGGGUGUUUAAUUACUGACGAAAAUAGAUUGCUUGGAGCUCUUAAAUGCACUGUUACUCACACACUGGCUAAUGUUGUUGUUUUAAAUGAAUUCAGAACACACCCUCAUGUUAUCUUAGGCUGCUCUGCUUAGUAAUCUCAAGACUUUACAGCGUUACAGAGAGAACAAGUGCCCAUUCAGUAUGAGUUUAGUGCUGCAGUUUAUCUCUAGUGCAAAAGUAAAACUUGACACAUUUAAACAUGAUAGGGUAGUUGAGGCACUGAUUGGGAUGCUGUCUCACAGUUUAAUGUAGAGAGAAGCAGAUCAAAGUGAAAUUUAUUUAAUUAAUAAAUUAAAUUAACUUUCUAUGCUUUAAUUCUGCAGUUUUUUCCCUCAUCACCAGGUAAAUGCACAAUGCAAUUUCAAAUACAUUUUUUAUGCUGUUGCAACCUCACAGAAGAUCUCCUUUCUGUGCUUUUAAUAAGAUCCGUCUCAAUCCACUGCAUAUAUAAAAAGUAUUAUUUCAUCACAUAUUAUAUCACUUUUAAAGCACACAGUAGCAACAACCCCAUUUCUAAAAAGUUGGGACACUGUGUAAAAUAAAAACAGAAUGCAAGUUUUACCAAAUCUAAUAAACUCAUUUUUUAUUUCUAUCAAACAUAUAAAUCAAAUAUCGAAUGUUUAAACUGAGACAUUUUACUCUUUCAUGAAAAAUAUGAGCUCAUUUUCAAUUUAAUGGCUGCAGCCUGUGUCAAGAAAUCUGGGACAGGGGCAACAAAAGACUACAAGUAAUUAGGUUAAUUGUUAACAGGCCAGUAAAACCAAUCUUUGAAAAAUACGAUGGACUGCUUUCAGAACUGCACAUGAUUAUUUUCAGCUAGCAGGUUGUUAAUGCUAUCCAUCGAGUCUAACAAUCUGCAGUCUAUGAACUAACCUCAGCUAAUGCCAGCUAACAAUGUUAGCUUGGUGGCGAGUGGCCUUUAGUAAUAGUAAUAAAUCACACAGCAAUAGUACAUCGAAGAUACUGAAGUGGCGCAUAACCCAGGUAGCUACCACAACUAAAACAAGGUAGUUGCAGUAGGCUAACAUUAGUUUUUAAAAAAGAACUCACUUCCAGAUGUUUCUUUAAGUUGGAGGUGGAGUCUUUUUACGCUGAGAGCAACUUGGUUUCUGGCAAACAUAGUUUGCAAUGCAUGGUCAGAUUUUGCCCAUCCUUUUCUUCUUUAAAUGUUAAGUGGUGUCGGAAUUUCCAAGUAAGAAAUGCGUUCCUGCCCGUGCACUUCUGGCUCUGUUGUGCUGGCUCUGGGUCCAUUGUGUAACUGAUGCCACCAACAUUAACAGGAGACUUACAUUAAAGCCUCUUAUUUCGCGUUUUGUUUGGGUUUCCAGCAAUGUGUGGAAUUACCAGAAUUAGAGAGGGGAUAGAGAGGGGAUAACCCAACAUAUGAAACAGGAAAAGGCCGCCAUGUAAUCCAUUUAUUUCAAAAAAGUAACUGUAUUCUAAUAAACCCCCUUUAAACAGUAACUGUAACUGAAUACAGUUACUCAUAUUUUGUAUUUUAAAUACGUAACACUGGCACAUGUAUUCCGUUACUCCCCAACACUGCCCUGGACUGUAAAUUAACUCCUAUAUGAGACUUAAAUGGACAACAUUCCUCUUCCAAAAGUCCAGCAACUGGUAUUUUCAGUUUCUAGAUGUUAACACACUGUUCAUAAAAGAAGUGGGGAGGUACACCGUUCUAAACGUGGCCCUGAAACAUGCUGGAACCACAAAUUCAAAUUCAUUUCUUAAAAUGGCACAGUUUACAAGUUUACACGUUUGAUAAACAUUUUCUAAGUAAAUAGAAUAUACAUUUACAUUUGUGAGAUUUGCAAAUCAUUGCAUUUUGUUUCUAUUUACAUUUUGCACAGGAUCCCAACUUUUUUGCAACUGGGGUUAUAGAAGUGACACUUUGAGGCAGUUUUACCCCAAAACUGCGCAUCACCUGCUCCAGAUCAGACUAUGUUUGCAGGAUGAGUUACCAUGGUGAUCUAGCCAGGUUAAAGGAAAGACAAGUUUGUGACACUGCAGACUCUGACUUUAAGCUUUACACAGCUCACUAAAGCAUUAAUCCCACUUUGUACUAUACUCCUUUUGACUGCAUUCUAAAGAGAGUCAAAAAGAUGGUACAGAAGUCCCAUUUAGACUCUGCGUGACUCAGUGGAACAUAUCUCACCUACUUCCCUUGUCUGUGGUCUCUGGUGUGAAGUGGCGUAGAUGCAUAAAAAAAACAACAAAAAAACAACCACAACUCACAAAAGUGUCCUAUUUAGAUCAACAAACGGUUUAACUCCAGACACUGAUGUAGGAGGUAAUUUCCUGAGAAAUUAUUUUUUCCAUCUAAAUAAAAUCUAAAAGAGCAAACAGUGCACUGCUAUUGCACAUAACCUAUUCAGUUCAUCAGCUGGCAAAGUGCAUAAACAGAAAGCUUAAAGGUCAUGAAAGAGAAGUACAGUGCUUAAAAAAAUUAUUCAAAAGCAGUAUACAUGAGCCAAGUUUAAACUCCCGGAGGUUGGAGCUGCCCACACUGGCAGUCCACACCUCUAAUUUGAAAAGGGCCUUAAUAAAAAUAAGAACGGAUAAGUCAGAAAGAAGAAAAAACAUCUCCCUCAUCCAUAUUAGGUUAACUGGAGACUAAAAGUUGCCCAAAGGUGUGAGUGUGAAUGGCUUUCUGUCUCUAUGUGCUGACUCUGCAGUAGACAUUCUUGAACCCCUCCCCCCACAGCUCAGCCUGAUUUGGAUAAGGGGUUAACAAGUUGCUCCAGUGUUUUGUUUUGUUUUUCUGAAUAGAUAUCAUUUAAUGUGUAGCACCUAUGCUUGUAGAGACUACAUUGAUCAGGUGUAACAUUAUGACUACCUGCCUAUAUUACGUUUGCCCGUUUUUCAGCUGCAGUGCACUGUGUAUUCUGACACUUUUCCAUGAGUACCAAUAUUACCUUUUUUGGCAAUUUGAGCUACAGUAGCUCAUCUGUUGGACCAGACCACAAGCACCAGCCUUUGGCCUUUAAUGACCCUGUGACUGGUUCACCACUGUUCCUUCCUUAGUCCACUUUUGAUAGAUACUGACCAUUGACUGGGAACAAAGGCUGGGAGCAGGGGUUUCGAGGUGCUCUGAUCCAGUCGCCUAGUUUGCCCUUGUGACACUUGCUCAGAGCCUUACGCUUGCCCUUUUUUCCUGCUUUGAACACAUGUAAUUUGAAGACAAAAUGUUCACUUGCUCCCUAAUAUAUCCCACCCAGUAAGAGGUGCCAUGCUGAAGAGAUAAUCAGUGUUAUUUCCUCACCUGUUAGUGGUCAUAAUGUUAUACCAGAUCGGUGUAGGUACAUUACAAUCAAAACCAUAACUUUUGAAAAAUGUGAAUGACUUUAUUUUGUACAGGUUACCUCUUUUGCAAGCACAACUGUGUAUAUAGAAAAAUGGAAUGUGAGUGUUGUGUGUAUAAAACAACGAAAUAAAAGAAAAUAACAAAAAAAAAAAGAAAAUUCAUUUAAAAUCAUAAUAACACAAGGGGGAAAAGUCACUUACUCAGUGCCUUUGGCCUCUGCUGUGCCUCUGACUCAGUCCUCAUGCCAGAACCAAUCAAUGUCGAGUUCCUGUAGAGUCUUUGCCAAGUAAAAGCGCCCAAGAAUGUCACCAUUGAUUUGUGACAAUUUUUCUGGUCUUGUUUUCAAGGGAAAAAAAUGAUAAUAAUGAGGCCCAGACACAGAGCGUAUGAAACAUGGAAACAAAUUAAACCUAUUUUGUAACCCUUAAUAUAGACAAUUGUGUAUGGUAUGCUCAUUGUGAU
ensembl:lncRNA